rnacentral:lncRNA from 1 species
GGGCCUUGACAGCAGAUAAAAGUUUCCUUCCACAUCCCUGGGUGGCCGACCUCUGUGGCUGGGGAAGGGAGGAGCAGGAGGAGAGGUGCUCGAAGGAUCCUGUCCCGUGGUGCGGGGCCGGGAGCAGGCUGGAGGCUCUGCCGCUUCCUUCGUGGUGAGGAUGGAAACGCAGACACGGAGCGGGUGAAACGCGAAGGAUUUCACGACCGGUUUGCUUCAAUAUCUUCUCUCCGUCAAGUUGUUGCUUCUGCUGCAAGAAGUCUCCCGGUGAUGUACGGAGUGACAAACACCCUGUAAUGCUGAUGUCAAGUGAUGAACAGAUCCUGAACCUUGUGUCAAACACGCGGAAAAAUGAAGAUGUGGAGCCCUGUGCAGAAGGAGCAAGAUUUCUAUCCCCACCUCGCCGAAUCUAUUACCGGCAGGAGCCGAGCUGACACCUGGCAGCAGCUGCGCCGCGCGCACCGGUGCCGCGCUGCGACCGAGAGCAGCGGGGGAGCGUCGCUUCCGCAGGAUUUGCUCCCCCCUGGCAUCCAGCUCCGUGCGGUCUUCUUCCUUCGCGACCUCAGUGGGAAAACACCCUCGGACUGUUCGCCUGCUGUAGCGCUUCCCGGGCAGGCAGGCAGCUCAGAACACUUCACCAGGCAUUUAGCUGUAAGCCAGAGGAGGAAGCGCCCCGCUCAGACAGUGAACCAGCAGCGUCCUAGAGGCCCCAGCACGCAGCACAAAUACGUGUCAUUACAUGGCACAGAGAUCUGCUCAUCCCUUUGCUGAACAGACAAACCUGCAUUGAGAAGAGGGGAUAAGGAGCUGCUAUGUGCAUGUGAGGAGGAGGAGUGGGGCUUUUUCCAGAGUCUGGGGCUGUUACUAGAGACUGCUCAUUCACUGCAUGUGCUUCAGGGGCUGGCUGGGGGCUUGGGCACAUGCCCGAGGCAGGAGGACCUGGGGAAGGGGGCGUCCGGCUGCUGCUGGGCAUGGGGCCCCUCAGCACUGUCUGCAGGUGUUUGGAGUGAUGGAGCUGAAUGGCAACGCUGUGUUAAUUUACAUGUGCCUCCUUUCAUUUGAUAAAACUAUUGCCGUUUAUGAGGAAAGCUUAUUGAGUUAAAUCACUUAUCCUGCAGUAAUAUAAAAAUCCUGCAGCUCAGGAAUACUGACAUGCAUGAGAGUCGGGCUCGCUUUUCUUCCUGAGCAGAAGAGGAACAGGAAUGAUUAUUUCGUAUCACUUUACGAAAGAGACCGUAGUGUAAUAUACCUGCUGCGCAUUGAUAAAUAGCACCAGCAGAUAAUAAGGGCCCUAGGCAAGGAGCAGCAAAGAAAAAAGGCUUUCCAGCAUGUGAACAUAAAUGGUUUAAAUGUGAACUAAAUUGGCCCGAUCAUUUCUCAGAUUUGCAAAAUUAAACCAUGCCCAAUUGUCAACACCACUGAGAUUUAUGAGACAAAUAUAGCCAGAGCAAGAGAAAUCUAUAACAGCCUUGCUAAAGAUGCUUGUAGGGUUUAAGAAGCACACAUUUAUGAAUCUAAGUGUUAUAAUUUUAUUGCCAUAUGUACAAUGUUCAGCAAUGCAGGGCCUGAAAAGUUCAUCAGCCGGGGACGCUUGGCACCAGAGUGCUCUGGCACCAGAGCUGCAGGUGAGCCUGGCUCAGCUUCACGUCUCCGCUCUUAGGAAAAUGUCUUUACACAAGGAGCUGUGGAGCUGGACGUACGUGCGGGAUGCCACCACAAAGGUAAGCACCAAGUACAAACAAGUGUCCUAGGAGGGAACCUGCCGCAGACA